AAUUAAGUUAUUGUUUGACAGAUAUGGGCUAUUAACAUUUUGUAGUACUCCACAAUGUAACCACCUGGGUCAGCUGUCUUACCUAUUUUAAAGCUGGAGAUGGCUGCGUAAAGUUCUUUCUCUGUGAUUGGACUAUUUAAGAGAUCACAAAAUCUUCCUCAACAUUGGAAAUGUUGACGUCUUCCAGGAAUUUAAAACCCAACUGGUGGUUGCCUAUUGGUGCGGUGUAAAGAGAACGGAAAUAAUUAUUUUUAAAAUUGUUAAUUUGAGUAUGGGAGGUAAUACGAUCACCU